AUGCUUUUGUAUGUUUUUGUUCUCUGCAUUAAAAAAAAAAAAGACUUCAAGAGAGGGACGUAACUUGAAGUUGUCCAAAUCACACAGAACCACGCGAGAUUUCAAAUCGAGAUGUUGUUGGCAAGAUGGUCGCUUGUGUGGAGAGACAACGGGACAGAUGAGACACACGUGUGUUUAUCUGCUGCAGAGAGACUGAUGAAGCAAUGCUGCCGUCACAGGCUUUGAAUCUUUUGUGGUGGAGCAGGACCUGCAAGGAAAGGUGACAUUUGUGGAAAAAAGGGAAAACCUGAAACAAAAGGAUAAAGAUCUGAAAUGUCUGGAGACUGGUGUGUGCAGUGAGGAUGGAGAAGUUCACAGCAGCAUCCUGGAAAAUGGUCCAGUGACACAGAUGAGACGCUCCAUCUCUCCACCUCUUACUGCCUCAUCAGGACCGGAUGCUGCUGUGGUCUCUUCAUUCUCAGUGACCCCAGAGCCAGCGAGAACAUCUAGAGAAAGACCAAAAGACACUGAGGAUGUGAUUUUGGGGCCUACAAUCCCCCGAUCAACCUGGAGAAUAGAGCCUUGCUCGAGCACACACUGGUGGUUUUGAACCAGCAACCUUCUGCU